rnacentral:rRNA from 1 species
AUUGAACGCUGGCGGCAGGCCUAACACAUGCAAGUCGAGCGGAGCGGCGGACGGGUGCGUAAUGCCUAGGAAUCUGCCUGUUAGUGGGGGAUAACGUCCGGAAACGGGCGCUGAUACUGCAAACUCUCAGAUGAGCAUAGGUCGGAUUAGCUAGUUGGUGGGGUAAGGGCCGACCAAGGCGACGAUCCGUAACUGGUCUGAGAGGAUGAUCAGUCACACUGGAACUGAGACACGGUCCAGACUCCUACGGGAGGCAGCAGUGGGGAAUAUUGGACAAUGGGCGAAAGCCUGAUCCAGCCAUGCCGCGUGUGUGAAGAAGGUCUUCGGAUUGUAAAGCACUUUAAGUGGGGAGGCGUUACCCACAGAAGAAGCACCGGCUAACUUCGUGCCAGCAGCCGCGGUAAUUC